GCUUUCCGGCGUUGGGGUUGCAGCUUCACCCUCGCAGACUCGGCUUAGCGAGCGAGUCGGUGCUUCCGCGGAUCAAAAUUAUUAGCCGUUUUAUUAGAGCCCAUUAAACGUUGCAUAAACAUGGUUCAGAGCUGCCUGGGAGAAGAAAAGCCAAAGGAUGCCACCCUCUCGAUUUAUCCCACCCGCGGGAGUCUGAAAGCCGACGCUAGGAGAAAUCCCGCGAAGGCCGCCCGGGAUCCUGGUAGAGGCGACGCUGUGUGCGUUUAUGGAGCGCUUGCGGUGCGUGGCACUAGGCUGGGUGUGGUGGGUGCUGCCGAAAAAAAGGUUCCUCCCAUCCAUUUGCACGUCACCCUUCCCACCUCCUGCCCAGAUGGACAGAAGUGAGGACAUUCAUCGGCCGCAUUUUACUAAUGGCAAGGAGAUAGCGACUGAAGGGCAAGAACCUAGGGUUUCCUGUCUUUGAUAUUUCUCAUCUUUGAGAGAAGCCAGUAUUUGGAGAUGUUUACCCUGCUGUUUUGGUCCGUUGUCCACUUUACUUGAUAUUGGGAUAUAUCAAGAGACCACUAUACCUUGAGUGUAAAAUACAGGUAUAUUCCUUCCUGCCAUCAUCGUGUAGCAAUAACGCUACUUCCUCCUGAUGAUUGGAUUCAUUUACCCCAACUAACAUGGUGACUCUUCCUUGCCUGCUGGUCUCCUAGCACAAGGACCCUGAACUGGGAAACCUCAGCAAGUUAAAGUUUAAAGGAUCUAUUAUUGUGUCUCUUGAUGAAAAGGUUCCUCUCUUGGGAAUCAGGACUUCUAGAUUCACAAAGUUGCGGGGAUGAGAAGUCCAAACUCCCCACAUGGGUCACUGGGAGUGAGAGUAUGUGGUUAUAUUAAUUUCCUAUCACUGCUAUGACACUACGAACUUAGUGGUUUCAAACAACACAAAUUUAUUUUCUUACAGUUCUGGAAGCCUAAAAUCAAGAUAUCAACAGGACUGUUUUUCCUGAAGUCUUCAAGAAAAAGUCUGUUUCCUUGCCUUUUUCAACUUCUAGAGGCUACCUACAUUUCUUGACUCAUGGCCCCUUACUCAUAUCACCCCAUCCUCCUGCUUAAGUCAUUGCAUCUACUAAGCAAAUCUGCCUCUCUCUUGUAAGAAUCUUUAUGAUUAUAUUGGGCCUAUUGGAUAGUCCAGGAUAAUCUCUGUAUCUUGAGGUCAUUAACUUAGUCAUAUCCACAAAGUCUCUUUUAUCUUGAAGGUAAAAUAUUCAUAGAAUCCAGGUAUUAGGAUCUGAACAUAUUUGGGGGCCAUUAUUCAGCCUACUACACAGUAGGAAUUCUAUUUAUAUCCUUUCAUUCCCAAACAUGCAUGUUAUGUAUAUAUGAGACACAGCACCAUAAAAUAAGUGUUGAUUUAGAGUAUAUACUGUACCCUGGUGGACAAGGUCAUUCCAUUUUCACAGGCUAUUAUCUUCAAGCUUUUGCUUCAGUUUCACCUUCAAAAGGGUUUUCCAUCAUUCCAUCAGACCAGCAUUUUCUCGGUUAUAUAGUAUGUGAUAGGACUAGUGGAUCUCAUGGUUAUGUACCUGCUGAUAGACCUCCUUUGCUGUAAAGUGGGUCCCUAAAUCAAAGGCAAUAUUACACAGGAUACAUGUUGAUGGAUCAAAUACCUGUAAACCUGUGAAUAGUAGAGCUGGCCAACAACUUAUAGGCAAGGAAGUCAAACUCAUACAUGCAGAUGGGCAGUUUCUAGUCAAGGAGAAUCACUGCCCAUUCUAGGAUGGAAGGAAUCCAACAUAAAUCAACUUGCUGCCCAAGUAGCUGUUUGGUAUCCUUGAGGGUUGGUGCUGUAUCAGGAACUUGGUGUUUAACACUGGGGAGUGGCUAUUUUGUUGUUGUUGUUGUUGUUUGGUUUGGUUUGAGACGGAGUUUCACUGGUUGCCCAGGCUGGAGUGCAGUGGUGCCAUCUCGGCUCACUGCAACCUCUGCCUCCUGGGUUCAAGGGAUUCUCCUGCCUCAGCCUCGUGAGUAGCUGGGAUUACAGGCAUGCGCCACCACGGCCAGCGAAUCUUGUAUUUUUAGUAGAGACGGGGUUUCUCCAUGUUGGUCAGGCUGGUCUCAAACUCCAGACCUCAGGUGAUCCGCCCACCUCAGCCUCCCAAAGUGCUGGGAUUACAGACAGGAGCCACCGCGCCCAGCCUGGGGAGUGGCUAUUGGAUAAGUGGAGGCUAUCUAUUGGCUUCUUGCUCACUUGCAUUCCUGCAAGAUGACUACUUUGUCAUAAGCCCCCUGUGCCAUUCCUGGGGGCGGAGGGAGGGGGCGGUGGAGCCGAUGGCUGUAGCUGCUGAAGUUUACUGGCUAAAUCUGUCUACUUGGUUAUUUAAUGCUGCUUACAUGUUGGAUUGUCUCUGGCAGAUAAAGAUUGUGUUAUACAAUACAAAAAGCCCUCCUUAUGUGCCAUAUCUCAUAUAUUUCUCCUCUGCUUCUCCAGACUUCUUGUCCCUGAUAUACCAGUCUUAUUCCAGACCCCUGAUCAACUAGCCAACUUAUUUGCCAUGAAAAUAUGUUCUUACUUCAAGACACUUUCUUUCCACACAAAGUUGAUGCCCAGGAAUACUGCCCCACAUUAUGCCUUUUGGGAGGGUUCUCCUCACUGCUGUCUUUUAAGGCCAGUCCUGUGUGGGGCUGUAGGGCAGUAGCAGUCCAUUUUUGUCUUGAACCUAUAUUCCAAGAAACCUCAGUGAAUUCAGCUCAGGCUUUUUUGUCCUCCAUAAGCUAGACAUGAGAGCCUCCCAAGUGUCCGUAAUUGUGAGCUGAGGAAGGGACAUUGGUAAAGAAUCAGAUAUGACAUGGGAGCCUGACCACCUGCCUUUGCCCAGCUCAUGAUGGGCCUCUCUGGCUACAUGGUCACUUGAUGUCCAUAAUCAGUUCUUACCAAGGCACAUUAGCAUGGAUAGAGUUGUUUUUGGGAUUUUGCACUGCAGAUGGCCCAGCCUUGCCACAGAAUGCCAGAAGUCGACCUUGUGAUUCUCCCAUUGGAGCUUGCCUUCAACUUUCAUGGCUUCUUAUCACAUUUACUCUUGUCCCAUAGAAUAUCCUGAAUUGGUCCAUGCAACAGGGCUAAAUACACCAUACCUGCUAGAGAACUUUUACAUGCUAUGGAUCCCACUGAAAACUGGCAGAUUUCUAUCUCACCCAGUUUACGAGUCAGAACAGUACUGCCAACUUCUGAAUUCCCACAGAAGCCUACACAGCUUGGUGUGCUUCCCUGGUGGCUGAAUAAUUUUGGUGAAAUGAGUGGGUGAGAUGCAAUAAUUUGUCCUUUACUGUGAAGGGGAUAUCUUGGCAUUCAAGCAGCCUACUGGGCCCUAAAAGUUUCAUGGAGGUAACAGCUUGAGGGUCUUAAGGAUUAUUUCCCAUCCUCCAGUGUACAGUAUGCUAGCUGCUUAUUAUUCACCUUACCCAGCUAGCAUGAUGUCAUCAAUGUGGUAGGUCAUUGUGACAUUAUGUGGGAUGUUCAGAUGGUCUAGAUCUCUUUGGAUUAUGACGCAGUGUGGAAGAGUUAACAUAACCCUAAGCCAAUACUAUAAAUGGGUACUGCUGUCCUAUAUAAACACAAACUUAAUUCUUGUCCAGCACUCUCAGGACCCAGUUCCAUACACAUGCUCAUGGUUCCUGUUGGUACAUGUUGGUUAGAUCCUGCAUCUCUUUGGUCAUAUAAGCCCAUUUGGAAUUGAAAGUAGACACACAGAAUGAGGGCAAAACACCUGCAGAACAGCUGCUUCAUCAUGGUGGGCUUUUUUCAUAUUAGGUUUUGUUACCUUUGAGUUUUUAAAUUAUGUGUAAAGCUUCGAUUAAAAAAAUAAAAAUUAUUAAAAAGAAACUGAGACAGUCUGUCUAUCCACCUAUCUCUAUUUACCCAGUGCUGUUGUUGUGUUACAUAAAAUUCAAUUUUAGCUUCAUUCAUAUUCAUGCAAUAUUUUCGUUUACCCUUGAUUCGACCUUGACCUUUAAAAAGCCAAAAAGACAAAUACCUAUUCUGACACUGGUUCUGAUCUCUCUGAAAUUCUGUGUGACCAAUGGUCAAGUAACCUUGCAGGUUAUUUAUCAUGUCUAAUCUGAAAAAAGUCAUUGUAUUUACUAGUAUUUUAAUAUUCACCUUAUAGGUAAGCAUUCUAAACAUGAUUGUGGCAAGAAAUUCUUAUAUGCUUUACAUGUUGAAAUUCUGUGUCAAAUGAAGUACAUAUGUAUAUUAUUGCAAGAGUGAAUUUCUUCAGUAAUGAUUGUGACAGCUAGUAAAUUUAAGUAGAAAGUAAUUAUAAACUUCCAAAUACUUUUUUUAAAUGGGCAAAAUAUAUGAAACAAUGGCCCUGAAGGCAUUGGACAUAGGCAGUGAAGGACAGUAAUCCAUGAGAGAUGGAAUGCAAACAAGGUGAGCAAUACAAUUGCUCCAACUUGCUGCCUAAAGAAAGGCUUUGGCAUGGGGAGAGGGAACCCAGAAGACUCUGUGAGGUGAGGAUAUAUAAGUGGGAGUCCUGAGAGCCCAAGGCAACUAGAGUUCACAGGGUAGAAUAUAGAGAGGACAGAGUGACACAGAGAGAACUCCAGAGAUCUGCUGACCAUUCUCCUAAAGUAUUAAGCUAAAUAAUGAUUAGUACAUGCAUGACAGGAAAUAACCAAAGGCUUGGCAAAGAACCAUCAAAAAGGAUUAAAGAAAACAAUACUCAAAGCUCACACAGGAUGGUGAAUGAUUCCUGAUCCCGUCAGCAAGAGUGGAAAAGAUCCUAAUUCACAAGGCACCAGUUAGAGUACUAAGAAAGGUCUUGCUUCAAUAGCGGGAAAAAUUAACCCUCGACUAAAUGCUCUAGAAUAACCUAACAAAGCUCAAAAGCAAGACCCAAAAACAUUCAAACUGUGUCCAAAUAACUUAAUCAUACUCCAGAAGAAAGUUCAAACUAUUUUAGGGAUAUGAAAAUAAUCUACAAAGUAAAAUUCACAAUGGCUGGCAUCCAAUCAAAAAUUACCAGGCAUGCAACAGAAAAAUACAACCCAUAAUAAGAAAAAUAAAACAUUCUGGGCUAGGUGCAGUGGCUCACACCUGUAAUCCCAGCACUUUGGGAGGCCAAGGUAGGUGGAUGACCUGAGGUCAGGAGUUCGAGACCAGCCUGGCCAACAUGGCAAAACCCCGUCUCUACUAAAAAUACAAAAAUUAGCAGGGAGUGGUGGUGCUCACCUGUAGUCCCAGCUAUUCAGGAGGCUAAGGCAGGAGAAUUGCUUGAACCCAGGAGGCAGAGGUUGCAGUGAGAUCGUGCCAAUGCACUCCAGCCUGGGCAACAGAGCAAGACUCCAUCUCAAAACAAACAAAAAAUAAAACAUUCUGUCAAAACUGACUCAGAAAUUACAGAUGAUGAAGAUUAUUAGACAAGGACAUUAAAACAGUUAUUAUAAUUAUAUUCCAUAUAUUCAAGAAACCAGAGGAAAGACUGAAGAUAUUACAGACAAUGAAGGUAUAAAAAGACCCAUAUCAAACUUCUAGAGAUGAAAACUCCAAUGUCUGAGAUGAAAAAUAUGUUAGAUGAGAUUAAUGGCAGAUUAGAUAUUGCAGAAAGAAAGAUUAGUGAACUUGAAGACGCAGCAGUAGAACCUCCCUGAAACAGAGAGAAAAAAGAAUAAAA
rnacentral:lncRNA from 1 species